AUUGAACGCUGGCGGCAGGCCUAACACAUGCAAGUCGAGCGAGUGGCGGACGGGUGAGUAAUGUCUGGGAAACUGCCUGAUGGAGGGGGAUAACUACUGGAAACGGUAGCUAAUACCGCAUACCAUCAGAUGUGCCCAUAUGGGAUUAGCUAGUUGGUGGGGUAACGGCUCACCAAGGCGACGAUCCCUAGCUGGUCUGAGAGGAUGACCAGCCACACGGGAAUGGAGACACGGGCCAGACUCCGACGGGAGGCAGCAGUGGGGAAUAUUGCACAAUGAGCGCAAGCCUGAUGCAGCCAUGCGGCGUGUAUGAAGAAGGCCGGCGGGUUGUAAAGUACUUUCAGCGGGGAGGCGUUACCCGCAGAAGAAGCACCGGCUAACUCCGUGCCAGCAGCCGCGGUAAUUC
rnacentral:rRNA from 1 species